AAAAAAACGAAAACUAUUGAAAUCACCAAUAACAAUUUAAUUGUUAGAAUUUAAAUGCCUAAGCACUCUGUUGGUUCCCACGAGUGCAUAAAUGAUUGACACAAGUAAAUUUUAUACAUACAGGAACUAUUUAAGAAGCUGCUUUAAAUUCCCAAGAGCAGAAAAUCGCGCACUAGCUUUACAAGGAGAUGUUCUUAACUAAAUUUUAAUACAUGCACCUUGUCAAUAUUUUACGCAUCAUUACGUUCAGCUUUU